CCUGCCCCUAGAGGUGUUGUAGGUGUGAUUACUAUGUCACCUGUGUGCUGGUAGGUGGCAGAAGGGAGAGAAGCUAUGUCUACACUCAGUGUUCUGACCUGUGACCAUCCGAAUGGUUAGCAGCCUAACACU
ensembl:snoRNA